GUGGGGAAUCUUAGACAAUGGGGGCAACCCUGAUCUAGCCAUGCCGCGUGAGUGAUGAAGGCCUUAGGGUCGUAAAGCUCUUUCGCCGGGGAAGAUAAUGACUGUACCCGGUAAAGAAACCCCGGCUAACUCCGUGCCAGCAGCCGCGGUAAUACGGAGGGGGUUAGCGUUGUUCGGAAUUACUGGGCGUAAAGCGCGCGUAGGCGGAUCGGAAAGUUGGGGGUGAAAUCCCGGGGCUCAACCCCGGAAUUGCCUUCAAAACUCCCGGUCUUGAGGUCGAGAGAGGUGAGUGGAAUUCCGAGUGUAGAGGUGAAAUUCGUAGAUAUUCGGAGGAACACCAGUGGCGAAGGCGGCUCACUGGCUCGAUACUGACGCUGAGGUGCGAAAGCGUGGGGAGCAAACAGGAUUAGAAACCCGAGUAGUCC
rnacentral:rRNA from 1 species